rnacentral:ncRNA from 1 species
CGAAAGAUGGUGAACUAUGCCUGAAUAGGGUGAAGCCAGAGGAAACUCUGGUGGAGGCUCGCAGCGGUUCUGACGUGCAAAUCGAUCGUCAAAUUUGGGCAUAGGGUAAGCAACCUCCCCAUUCCAGUACGAUCCCAGUAGGUGCCAGUGAACAUUUUAACUAACAAACAUUUUCUACAGGGCGAAAGACUAAUCGAACCAUUGGAAAAGCU